ACAUGUUUUUCCAAUCUUCUUGCUUGAUUAUCCACUCAUAGCCCCUCCUCAUGUGAUCUCAUCAAAAGAGUAAAAUAAAAGCGGUGUGGUUUCUUGCAGCAGGGCUCUUGGUUCUACAAACUUUGAGUCCCCUGGUUCCCACCUUUACUAUCUCUGUUUUGUUUUGUGUUGGUUUUUUCCUUAAGUUCCACAGCACCCAUUCUUCAGCCCCAUCCUGCUAAGCUGGUCUUGGCAAGUGGCAUCCAACGUGUGGCGGGCAAACAGGCAGGUGCGAAGAAUGAAGGACUGUGACUACAGCAAGAAUUUUUAUUCAUUGUAAGUGCUGUGGAGCUCUGAGAAGAAGGGAGAAAUUUUGUAUGGCCACGCUAAAAAAAUCCUUUGGAUACGUUCCCUCUCUCAGAUGCACAAAGCGAGAUAUUUAAGAAGUAAUGAAGAAAAGAAGUUGCAAGAUCUAUUUUUGUUCUCCUGCAAAAACAAAAAGGGGGCGAUUGGGAGUUUUCAAGUUCUGGUCUCAAGACAGACUUACUAAAGGACAUAACACGGGCCUCAUUGAACUACAGUCAUGGCUACUGGCUGAGCACUUUGUGUUCCUGGUUUCAGGGAUCAACAGGCAAAAGAGAGAGAGAUGUCAUCUAAUCCAAGGGGCAAGCUUAUCUGAUGUAAUUAAACCGCUGGAAAUUAGCACUCGGCUAUUGUAUCAUUCAGAAGAAAAAAUAAAAUAAAAUGGAGAACAGGGUGACAAAAGAAAAAACAUUUUAUAUUUUUGAAAGAAAUUACAGGAAAGGGCACAAAAAUCAUUCACAUUCCAGGCAGAGGAGAACCUGACUUGUUUUAGGAUAUAGACUCCAGAUUGUGUUUUUAAAAAUUUUUAUAAUAUCAAAUAUAAGAAAAUACAUAAAUUAUAUUCACUUUCAAACAGUGUGUUUUAAAUGACAUUUAACUCCAUAGUCUCAAGGCAAGUAGAAGAGAUACUUGAAAUCUCUGUUUUUUCAUCCUUUUCCCCAGUUUCUCACACUAUCAUCAUUAUCCCCACUGCCUCUUCACAUGGUCCAAAUCAAUCUUUUCUUGUGACUCCAACCCAAUUCAGUCUCCUGAAGUUGCUCUGUCUUUAAAUAUUUGCCUGGUUUCUGUCUGUUUCUAGCUAUUUCUCAUUAUAUGUUGUUUGUCUUCUCUUCAUUGGAUGUGAGAAGCAC